rnacentral:rRNA from 1 species
UCCAGACUCCUACGGGAGGCAGCAGUGGGGGAUAUUGCACAAUGGGGGAAACCCUGAUGCAGCGACGCCGCGUGAGUGAAGAAGUAUUUCGGUAUGUAAAGCUCUAUCAGCAGGGAAGAAAAAAGACGGUACCUGACUAAGAAGCCCCGGCUAACUACGUGCCAGCAGCCGCGGUAAUACGUAGGGGGCAAGCGUUAUCCGGAUUUACUGGGUGUAAAGGGGGCGCAGACGGCGAUGCAAGCCAGGAGUGAAAGUCCGGGGCCCAACCCCGGGACUGCUCUUGGAACUGCGUGGCUGGAGUGCAGGAGGGGCAGGCGGAAUUCCUGGUGUAGCGGUGAAAUGCGUAGAUAUCAGGAGGAACACCGGUGGCGAAGGCGGCCUGCUGGACUGCAACUGACGUUGAGGCCCGAAAGCGUGGGGAGCAAACAGGAUUAGAUACCCUAGUA